CAGCCGCCGCGGUAACACCGGCGGCCCGAGUGGUGAUCGUGAUUAUUGGGUCUAAAGGGUCCGUAGCCGGUUUGGUCAGUCCUCCGGGAAAUCUGAUAGCUCAACUAUUAGGCUUUCGGGGGAUACUGCCAGACUUGGAACCGGGAGAGGUAAGAGGUACUACAGGGGUAGGAGUGAAAUCUUGUAAUCCCUGUGGGACCACCUGUGGCGAAGGCGUCUUACCAGAGCGGGUUCGACGGUGAGGGACGAAAGCUGGGGGCACGAACCGGAUUAGAUACCCGGGUAGUCCCAGCCGUAAACGAUGCUCGCUAGGUGUCAGGCAUGGCGCGACCGUGUCUGGUGCCGCAGGGAAGCCGUGAAGCGAGCCACCUGGGAAGUACGGCCGCAAGGCUGAAACUUAAAGGAAUUGGCGGGGGAGCACAACAACGGGUGGAAGCCUGCGGUUUAAUUGGACUCAACGCCGGACAACUCACCGGGGGCGACAGCAAUAUGUAGGCCAAGCUGAAGUCUUUGCCUGAAUCGCUGAGGGGUGGUGCAUGG
rnacentral:rRNA from 1 species